UUCCUACUUCUGUCUCUAAAAAUGUGUUGCUCUUACUGCAUUAAUUUAAACACAACACAACAUAUUUUCACCACAUUUCGGCCAGUAUGAACACAGAGCAGAGCGCUGAAAGCCUCCGUAGUGCAGAUAAUUGUUCAGUUUCGACGCCAGAGGGGAAAGACACGAAGAAAGGAGUGCUGAAAAGAACUCCAUUCUCAAAGUUUAAGAAAGUACACUCCAGCUUCAAAUCACCUCUUCAAGUAUCUGAGACUGCUAAAGUUAGCCCUGCAGAGGAGGUGGCAGAUCUCGAGAGGAGAAAAGAGCAGCUGGAUGCUGAGAUAGCACAGCUGGAGGCUGAAGGAUACCGAGUAGAGGAGCUGGAGUGUCAUAUUGAUAUGCUGCAUGAAUACAAUGACAUCAAAGACAUUGGACAGUCACUCCUGGGCCGUAUUGAUCAAAAAGUUAUGGAGGCAUUUCACCUUCUGCCUACAACUCUUAUGACCCUGCACAUUGCUGUGUAAAUCGGUGAAGGAGUGAUGUAUGUCUGGGGACACACCAGUCUGAGGAAAGCGAGUGAACGACUGCUCUGCUCUGAGGGGGACCACUACACGAGAUCUCUACAGCCACUUUGGUCUGGAACUUGAUGACUGAAAAAAAAAAGGAAAGGAAAACAUGUAUGAAAAUACAGUGAUGAGGCCGGCCCUCGGCCAAGGGGAGAUGGGCAUAAAGGGAAAAAGGAAAGACUUAGGAACCUUUUGACAGAAGAGAAGGAUGGAGAACUGUGUUGACCUCAACCAGCUCCUUUAGGCAGAAGUUUGCCCUUUUUCUUCGUGGCUCUGUUUUCACCUCUGUACAGAGACAUUUGAUUAAUGAGCAUGAUAAGAUGAGAAUGGUGUCAGUCCAGCAGGCAGGCCUGAUUUAAAAUAGACCACCUACUCAAGCUAUUAACUUAAGGCUGUGACAGCCUAUAUUCUCCAGCCUAUUCUCUACCUCGGCUGUGCAAGAAUAUAAGAUGUAUUAAGGCUCUAGCAACUUUGAUAGGGCUUGUUUUGACAUUUGAGCUUAUCUAAGUGGAGUUUGCAAUUCAUUCAUGACGGCUGCCUGAAUGUGGGUUAUUUUCCUGACUUUGGUGUUAUUUCCAGGAAUGCUGGAGCGUCAGUUUAAAGUGUAAAAGAAAAUGUGCUAAUAUCCUUUGUACGCUGACAAUAACAAUGGAAUAAAUAAGUCAC